CAGUAGCCGCGGUAAUACGGAGGGUGCAAGCGUUAAUCGGAAUUACUGGGCGUAAAGCGUGCGUAGGCGGCUUCUUAAGUCGGAUGUGAAAUCCCUGAGCUUAACUUAGGAAUUGCAUUCGAUACUGGGAAGCUAGAGUAUGGGAGAGGAUGGUAGAAUUCCAGGUGUAGCGGUGAAAUGCGUAGAGAUCUGGAGGAAUACCGAUGGCGAAGGCAGCCAUCUGGCCUAAUACUGACGCUGAGGUACGAAAGCAUGGGGAGCAAACAGGAUUAGAUACCCCUGUAGUCCCUGUCUCUUAUAU
rnacentral:rRNA from 1 species